CGGUCCGAAAGGACCGCUAAUACCGCAUACGUUCCUUGGGGCUUUGGCCCUGGGGAGGAAAGCUGGGCAACUGGCGCUAAAUGAGAAGCCUGCGUCGCAUCAGCUAGUUGGUGGGGUAAUGGCCUACCAAGGCGAAGACGCGUAGCUGGUCUGAGAGGAUGAUCAGCCACACUGGAACUGAGACACGGUCCAGACUCCUACGGGAGGCAGCAGUGGGGAAUAUUGGACAAUGGGCGCAAGCCUGAUCCAGCCACACCGCGUGAGUGAUGAAGGCCUUCGAGUCGUAAAGCUCUGUGGGGAGAGACGAACCGCUGGGGCAACCCUCCAGCAUGACGGUAUCUCCUUAGCAAGCACCGGCUAACUUCGUG
rnacentral:rRNA from 1 species